GAUGAACGCUGGCGGCGUGCCUAAUACAUGCAAGUCGAGCGAACAGACGAGGAGCUUGCUCCUCUGACGUUAUCGGCGGACGGGUGAGUAACACGUGGAUAACCUACCUAUAAGACUGGGAUAACUUCGGGAAACCGGAGCUAAUACCGGAUAAUAUAUUGAACCGCAUGGUUCAAUAGUUAAAGACGGUUUUGCUGUCACUUAUAGAUUGAUCCGCGCCGCAUUAGCUAGUUGGUAAGGUAACGGCUUACCAAGGCAACGAUGCGUAGCCGACCUGAGAGGGUGAUCGGCCACACGGGAACUGAGACACGGCCCAGACUCCUACGGGAGGCAGCAGUAGGGAAUCUUCCGCAAUGGGCGAAAGCCUGACGGAGCAAAGCCGCGUGAGUGAUGAAGGUCUUCUGAUCGUAAAACUCUGUUAUUAGGGAAGAACAAAUGUGUAAGUAACUAUGAACGUCUUGACGGUACCUAAUCAGAAAGCUACGGCUAACUCCGUG
rnacentral:rRNA from 1 species